CAUUCUUAUUCCCACUAAGCCCAUUCUUUCCAAUAUGUAUUGUUCCUAUUCAUGCCCAAACCGCCUCCAAUCCUGUCUCCCUCUCUAUCUCGUUCUCUCCAAAUAAUGCCCCUUUCUACUUUAGUGAUAUAUAGCCCACUACUCUCCCUUGUACUCCUCUCCCUUUAGGCCUCUUCCUACCCGACACUGCCCCUCUCCUUCUUUCAACACACACACACACACACACACACACACACACACACACACACACACACCCCUACCUACCUCUUGGUGGAUGUGUGUAGGAGACAAUGCAGGCACGACCUGGUGGCCAGCCUACCAUGGCACACCAUGCUCCUGAGUAUUCACAGAAGCCAGAACAUCAAUUUCAAGGUCGUGUGAGUCGUCAGUAGCUGACAUGCUGCUGAGUCUGCACUCUCCAUGUCUCCUUUUAUGUGUUUCUUCCAUAUAGAGACCCUGGUGUCGUGAGCACACAUUGUCCAGUCUGAGGUAAUGUGCUGGCCAAUCACAGUCAGUAGGCUUCCACUAGGUAAGUAGUUGUUUACAUGCAAUAAAGCAGAUGCUCUUCCACUAUCCCGAGUGGUUCAUCCCCAUGCCCUUUACUGAGCCAUGGGUAUUGCUGUCUCAUCAGGAGACCUAAUCAAUGGAUUAAGUGCUGGGAUUAAAGGUGUGCCCACCAUGUCCAGCCUAUUAUAUUUUUUGAGGCUCAAGCAGUCUUUAUCGGGCUCACACAGAGUCCAUUAGCUUAGAGUACCUCUGUGAACUUGUUUUUGACUUGUUUCUGUAGUCUCAAGAGUGGCUGUUUCUUCUGGUAGUCUAUGUCUUGUCCUCAGCCUCUUCCUCUCUGUAUGUCUCUGCAUCUGUCUUCCAUGAGGUAAACAGUCUCCUCCACCAUGACCUUCUGCCACCAUGACAGACUUGCCUCAGGGGAGACCAUGGACGAAACCUCUGACAGCAGGAACCUGAGCAGACUUUCUAUCCUCUUACCUUGUUCCCUCAAGUAUUUUGUCACAUUGAUAAAACAGUGCCUCACGGCUAUUUCAGUUAGAAGAUGUCACAAAUACGAAUGGUAAAAUGGCAUGUCUUUCCCAAAGACCACACCAGCCGCUGAGGAGAAUUUUGCUGAUGAGAGUUGACUUUUCAACAGUGGAUGGACUCCUGAGGUUUAUGGGAAAGUAAACUCACCAGGAAUAAGAAUUGUGUUUCCCAUGGAGCAGAGAACCCCAGGAUCUGCCACUUAACUGGAUUGCUCUAGGGUGCAAUCAGCAUUUCUCACAGGGUCAGGAGCACAUGGCUGCGUUUUGACACACCUCCACAGACUUCCUGUCUGAUCCCUGUGUCUGCCUCAGAGGACUCUAACUUAAUUAGCUCAAAAUGUAAGCUGAGCCUCUGCUUUCCUCCCUUCAACAGAAAUAGGAGAAAUAAAAAAAAGAAGCAGCUCCACCCUGCCCCAAGUAUGUUUUGGGAAACUGGAAGGAGAUAAAUGUAGCUCACUGGGAACAAUUGCCUGGCUACCCUCUGAACUUGGAAGCUUCCUUAUUUUAGCUUUGUGAAUUAUGGGACAGGAAGUUCCUUCCAGGUAGGGUGGUUCUGAGCAGUUUUGCUACUGGCUUAGAAAAGUCACCAGGGAAGAGUGACGAGGGAGGGCUGUCCCAGGAUCUCUUGCCCCCUUGACGGUUCAAGACCCCCAGGUAACAGCAUCCUAUCUCAAAUCUCAGCAAAAGGCUGCCAUGGAGGGUUAGGUGUAUGUUCUGGGUAGGCUGCUGUGCCAAAGGACUGUGGCUUGAAGAUGCUCUGCCUCACAUUGCACCUGUUCUGAGCACCUCUUCCCUUUCUUCACUGUUUCCUCUUUCUCCCUUGUCUCAGGUUAGAGUCCUCAAACAGGGAUGCUGAGCUGAAGAUGUGCGUGCAAGGGAUGUGUGGAGGAGCACUCCUGGAAGCAUGGUAGGAGAAACAGACAUCAUCGUCGUCAUCGUCAUCAUCAUCAACACAUAGUAGUACCCACAGAAGGAAGCUUCUGCUAGACACUGCACAGGCUCUGGAGUGUAAACCCUGCUGCAGAGAUGCCUGUGUCCAGGCUGUGGAGGGGACUGUUCAUGUCCCAUCUAUCAUGGGCUCAUAUCCAUCUGCCUUCUACAUGUGUGUAUGUUUGCACACCCAGAGAUGUUACAGUCUACAGUGGACUGAGCCCUCCUAUAUUAGUCAGCGACCAAGAAAAUGCCUCACAGACAUGCCCACCAUCCAAUCUGAUGGAGACAAUUCUUCAGCUGAAGUUUCCUGUUCCCAAGUGUGUCAAGUUGACAACCAAGGCUAGCCAUCACAAGGCACAGUCCACUAUGGUGUGGAUAAGGCAGCAGGGGCUUGAAGAAGCUGGCCACAAUAUGUCCUCAUUCAGAGGAAGGGAGCAGAGUAGGCAUACUCAGUUGACUCACCAUUUUGUACAGUCAGGAUCGCCGCCCCAGAGAAUGGAGUCACCCACAAUUAAGAUGGGCCAUCCCAUAUUGAUGAACACAUGACCAUCCUCCACAGGUAUGCCUAUAGGCCAGUUACCGGGUGAGUCUAGAUUCUAUCAACUUGAUAAUUAACACCAGUCUUCAUACCAGCUCAUCUGUUGAUCUAUGACUUUGCUUCUUAUUGUGGUAACAUUGCCUUCCAUUUUGAACAGAAACUCUGCACAUAUAGGACAAGGACUCCCCUUCCAUCUCCUCAUAACCUUAAGUGUUCUCUGCAGAUUGUCUGUUCCAGGAAUCUCAGUGGAGACAUGUUCAUCCUUUAGGACCUGACUCACAUGUCAUACCAUUGAUGCCUUCAACUUCAUGAUAUAAUGAGCAUCAGA